rnacentral:tRNA from 1 species
GCCCAACCAGUAUCGUGGAUAUGACCAUCGGCUUGUAACCGAGUGAAUUCGGGUUCGAAUCCCGAAUAAGGCA